rnacentral:rRNA from 1 species
AUGGCGAACACAAGGAUGACAUUGCACAUGUGCUACCUCACCAUAUUGUUACUGCUUGCAUUACUGGCACCACCGUGCACGCCCGUCAGCGACACUGACGACGGUAGCAACAGCGCGGGCGUCGACGGGAGUCGCCGUGCGCGCGCCGAGGCCACCGUCGACGACAUUUUGUCGGCGCACAAUGAGGCGCGGAGGAAGGUCGGGGUGGAGCCCCUGACGUGGAGCCAGGGGAUCGCGGGAUACGCCAAGGACUACGCCCGCUCCCGCCGCGCGGACUGCGCGCCGCGGCGCUCGUCGCUGUUCUACUUCGGUGAGAACAUAGAAGUGGGCAAAGGGCGUCGCUGGGGCGCCGGGGCGCUGGUGGCGCAGUGGGUGGACGAGGGGCGGUGGUACGACUACGGCAGCAGCUCCUGCGCGGCGCCGGCGGGCUCGUCCGGAUGCGGGCGGUACACGCAGGUCGUGUGGCGGAACACGACGCAGCUCGGGUGCGGUAAGAUCGUAUGCGACUCCGGCGACACGCUGCUCGUCUGCGACUACUUCCCGCCCGGCAACUACGGCACCGGCCGGCCAUACUGA